UAUUGGCCCUUUCCUUUUGUUUGGACACGCAUUUCGGCCAACGCGAAUGCCAGGAUGAGAACAGACUCGGCUUCCCAGCCUCUACGUGGGCCACCGUUAGGCGAUCAGAGCAGCUGCUACUAAAAGUACCAGAGUCUCCGCUACACCGAGCUGACUAGAUUGAGGAAGUACGCACAAUAUUGCAACGUUUUAAGAGUUUUGACGAAAAGCCUUGAUUCUUGACCCUUACCAGAGGAAGGCUGUGAACCUUGAAGCACUAAAACAUCAACUAGACAAGUUUUGGCCAGGUUUUUUCCCCUUGGAGAAACCCUUGGGAUUCAGACACAAAUCUCGGUGAUUCCGAGUGGCGAGCUACCAAUGGAUUUGCGAUUCCUAGAACCACUAUCAGGACUACUUGUAAUUCCACCUUCACUGUAAACUUGUUACUACACCAAGGUGGCGGUAGGAAUUGGAAUUUUCCUCAAUUUGGAUUUAUGGAACUUUGAUAGUGCUGUGUGUGCAACUCAACACACAUUGCUUGUAGACUCUUGGGAUUUUUGUGAAGGGAGCGACAUUUGAAAGUAUUGUUCU